UCUGACUUUUGCAUCUGAUGAGAGAAAACAAGAAAAAACAAAGCUCAACUUGAGUUGGACAGUGUGGUGUGACAACAAAAAAGAUUUUUUUAAAGUAUGCCAGCAGCAAAAUGAGGUCUAAGGAAAACAUCGGACUGAUACUUCAAGAAGAUAGUCAAGAUAGUCACCUAACAAGUAAUGCUGAGGCAUUACCAAUGCAAAUUACAAAUGCAAGGCAGAGGAUCUGUAUGAGAAAUUCCACAACCACUGAGAGUAUUAAGCGAAGUUCAUGUUUACACCUGCUUUUUGUGGUAAAUGAAAUUAUAUUUAUGGGAUCUCUCUGCAUUUACUACAGGAUGUUCUUUCCUCAAGUCAGAGUUUGAAGUAUAGAAGCUUUUGUGGUUUAUCUUCAGAAGAAUGGGAUUAAGUUAUUACACAAAGAAUUGUAUGUAAUAUAGUUUAGAUUAAUAAGGAGACUAGGCUUCCUAGGCUGUUAGUUUAACUCCCACUGGUGGAGAGUAAGAAGAUUUGAAUAUACAAAUUUGGCUGCUGAUUAUCCUACUCUGAAUGUUGUUUGGGAAUUACAGAUUGAAACUAUUACUUUUGCAUGUUUCUGACAGUUUUUAUUACCCUCCAUAUUCAGAUGAGCUUACCGACUGCACAUAUCACUAUUUUAACAUCUUCUGUGCUUAAGUAGCCCAAGUUUCAAACCCAGCUGAACCAAGAUGCUUUGGCUAAGGAAAGGAUUUUCAGUCCCUUGCAGGGCUGAACAGUCCAAUUCAAAUGGUUUCUUGAAGUUGGAUGCUUCUUUUAACUGUUGUGCUUAAAAAAUGAAAGCAUUUGUAGACAAUCAAUAUAUUAUACAGCCAUUAUCAUUUCCAGGCACUUACUGUUCAUUGAAAAUCCAUUAUCCAUAAAUGAGCAUUCACCAGACAGUGUGUAGCAUUAGUUCACAGCAUAGUUCAAAUUUAUAUCUGAGAAAAUUAUAUCAUAGCAAAUAGCUUUGACCUGUCACUAUUUCAUCCUCACCUUCCUUCUCUAUAACCAAAAAAACCUUCUUGACUGCUCUAUU